GACGAACGCUGGCGGCGUGCUUAACACAUGCAAGUCGAACGGAAAGGCCCUGCUUUUGUGGGGUGCUCGAGUGGCGAACGGGUGAGUAACACGUGAGUAACCUGCCCUUGACUUUGGGAUAACUUCAGGAAACUGGGGCUAAUACCGGAUAGGAGCUCCUGCUGCAUGGUGGGGGUUGGAAAGUUUCGGCGGUUGGGGAUGGACUCGCGGCUUAUCAGCUUGUUGGUGGGGUAGUGGCUUACCAAGGCUUUGACGGGUAGCCGGCCUGAGAGGGUGACCGGCCACAUUGGGAUUGAGAUGCGGCACAGACUCCUACGGGAGGCAGCAGUGGGGAAUAUUGCACAAUGGGCGGAAGCCUGAUGCAGCAACGCCGCGUGCGGGAUGACGGCCUUCGGGUUGUAAACCGCUUUCGCCUGUGACGAAGCGUGAGUGACGGUAAUGGGUAAAGAAGCACCGGCUAACUACGUG
rnacentral:rRNA from 1 species